UGACCUUGAAUUCACAGCGAUCCUCCUGCCUCAGCUUCUGCGGUGCUGGGAUUACAGGUGUGCACCGUGACACCUGGAGACGGUCUUCAAUUGAAAGAUAAGAAUGUGAAGGUAUGGUGGAGCCAGAGAAGAGAGGGGGGAAGGCCAAAGGACUGCUCGGUUAAAGGACUUCAAGUACAUGGAUACACACAGGGCGCGUUUCCCUUCAGAAGCAGCGGUCUCCCCAGGACCUCUUCUGCCCUUUGACAACAGGGCCCGACUUCUAUCAGGCAGGAAUUCUACUUUCCUCUUCAUUCCAUGAUGUGCUUUGCCAAGUGUCAAGUUUAAAGUGCUCGACAAAGGAGAAGUCAUGUUCUUGGGGGAGAAUA